CAUCACGUUCGAGGCGCAACCAGAGAGAUUCAAACUCAGCUGCUUUCAGAAACUCCAAAUAUUAUUAGGAUUCUAAUGGACUCGAAUUUCGGAGGCGUGGAGAAUCACAAUUACUACCUCUCUCAAUGUUUCUUAAACCUCGGUCACAAGGUUGCGGUAAUGACACAUGCUUAUGGGAACCGCUCCGGAGUCCGAUACAUGACCUAAUAUUUGGUUCCGCCUUGGUAUCUACGUUUACUUUUUUUUUGUGUGCUUUGGUUUGGUUAAAGGUUCGUUUUGUAGUUGGAGGGGAUGGACCGAAGCAUGUGAGACUAGAGGAAAUGAGGGAGAAGCAUUCUCUACAAGAUAGAGUCGAAACGCUUGGUGCUGUUUCCACAUUCUCGUGUGCGCUCAGUUUUGGUCACCGGUCAUAUAUUCCUUAACAGGUGUAGAGAUGGCAGGGCUGAUUCUUACUUAUUGAAAUCACAAGGCUCAUCACAUGGACUUCUAUAUUGGAGGCGGCUAGUUCAUAGGUUCCUGUCAUGUGGAGCUUUGGGCUGGGAAGGUAUUCUGUAUGGUUAUGAUCAUUGAUUACUUGCUUUGGCGGUUACUUCAGUUACUGCGGCCUGAUGAUGAUAUCGAGGAGGCACCAGAUAUCAAUUUUUGCCAUUUGUGAGGUAGUAGUUUGAGAGUCUCAACGAAGAAUAUAAAUUAAGAAAUGAGAUUGGAAUCAUUUUUCCUAGUGAAGUGGAUAUUAUAAUUUACAUGUUUCGCCCAACACUACAUAGGAAAAAAAAAGAGGAAGAAGAUUUUGCGAGUUUGAAUGUACUUAAAAGUUGCCAAGCGAAAGUUGGGUACUCACAAGACAAGCGUGCCAAGAGGAAGAGAGCGGAGAUGUCUAGUGUCCUCGCAAGAUGAGGUCUCUAUUAUAUAUGUAAAUCCUCCUCAACCUUCUAUUCACAUUCAUUAGUUAUGCAUCUAAAUUACGAAUGUAAUUGACGGAUGUGAGAAGAUACAGAUUAACAGAUGAAUGAACAAGAAAUAUUGACACAUAGAUUUAACGUGGUUAUUUCUUAGGGUUUUGUCCACGAGCAAUAAAAGAGUAUUUUAUUGAUGAAAGUGAGUUUUUCAGAGUACAAUUCGUGCUACAGAAUAGGGUGAAACCCUAAAGAUAUAUAUAUGAAAACAUUUAAUGAAACUUUCAUAUCUCGGAUUGGUAUGAAUAUCGAUCGAUACAUCGGUAUGUGCAUCGAUCGAUACUACGGUAUUGGCGAUCGACAUGGAUCCCCCGAUUUGCCAACUCACAGAUUCAAGACAUAUUCCAACAGUAUUUCUGUAUUUUCCUAGUUGCUUUGGUUUGGUUUUGUGUUUCUUUGCAGGUCUGGUGUUGUGGUGGUGGUGGUGGUGUAACUGAGAAGAAGAAGUGAUGCAAUGAC